UGCAAGUCGAGCGGACAGAUGGGAGCUUGCUCCCUGAUGUUAGCGGCGGACGGGUGAUUUAACGUGGGUAACCUGCCUGUAAGACUGGGAUAACUCCGGGAAACCGGGGCUAAUACCGGAUGGUUGUUUGAACCGCAUGGUUCAAACAUAAAAGGUGGCUUCGGCUACCACUUACAGAUGGACCCGCGGCGCAUUAGCUAGUUGGUGAGGUAACGGCUCACCAAGGCAACGAUGCGUAGCCGACCUGAGAGGGUGAUCGGCCACACUGGGACUGAGACACGGCCCAGACUCCUACGGGAGGCAGCAGUAGGGAAUCUUCCGCAAUGGACGAAAGUCUGACGGAGCAACGCCGCGUGAGUGAUGAAGGUUUUCGGAUCGUAAAGCUCUGUUGUUAGGGAAGAACAAGUACCGUUCGAAUAGGGCGGUACCUUGACGGUACCUAACCAGAAAGCCACGGCUAACUACGUGCCAGCAGCCGCGGUAAUACGUAGGUGGCAAGCGUUGUCCGGAAUUAUUGGGCGUAAAGGGCUCGCAGGCGGUUUCUUAAGUCUGAUGUGAAAGCCCCCGGCUCAACCGGGGAGGGUCAUUGGAAACUGGGGAACUUGAGUGCAGAAGAGGAGAGUGGAAUUCCACGUGUAGCGGUGAAAUGCGUAGAGAUGUGGAGGAACACCAGUGGCGAAGGCGACUCUCUGGUCUGUAACUGACGCUGAGGAGCGAAAGCGUGGGGAGCGAACAGGAUUAGA
rnacentral:rRNA from 2 species